GACGAACGCUGGCGGCAUGCUUAACACAUGCAAGUCGAACGGAAAGGCCCUGCUUUUGUGGGGUGCUCGAGUGGCGAACGGGUGAGUCACCCGUGAGUAACCUGCCCAUGACUUUGGGCUACCUCCAAGAAACUGGGGCUAAUACCGGAUAGGAGCUACUGCUCCAUAGGGGGGGUUGGAGAGUUUCGGCGGAUGGGGAUGGACGCGAGGCUUAUCAGCUUGUUGGCGGGGUAGUGGCUUACCAAGGCUUUGACGGGUAGCCGGCCUGAGAGGGUGACCGGACACAUUGGGCCUGAGAUACGGCCCAGACCCCUACGGUAGGCAGCAGUGGGGAAUAGUGUACAAUGGGCGGAAGCCUGAUGUAGCAACGCCGCGUGCGGGAUGACGGCCUUCCGGUUGUAAACCGCUUUCGUCUUUGACGAAGCGUGAGUGACGGUAAUGGGUAAAGAAGCACCGGCUAACUACGUG
rnacentral:rRNA from 1 species